CUACCCCUCGUACCUUUUGCAUCAUGACUUAGCUAGAAACUCCAAGCAAAGAGAACUUUAGUUUGACCCCCCGAAACUAAGUGAGCUACUCCAAGACAGCCUUUUAUAUAGGGCACACCCGUCUCUGUGGCAAAAGAGUGGGAAGAGCUUCGAGUAGAGGUGACAGACCUAUCGAACCUAGUUAUAGCUGGUUGCCCGAAAAAUGGAUAGGAGUUCAGCCUCCCGGCUUCUUUAAAAACCGAGAGAGUUAAUCAAAAGAGGUACAGCUCAUUUGAUAUAGGACACAACCUUAAUAGCAGGGAAAAGAUCACAUUUUCACCUAAGGUGAUACAUUUUUGUGGGCCUGAAAGCAGCCAUCACCAAAAGAAAGCGUUAAAGCUCAAAUAACCUAUUCUGACAACAUAAUCUUAGCCCCCUUAAACUACCGGGCCGCUCCAUGCAAACAUGGAGGCGACCAUGCUAACAUGAGUAAUAAGAGAAGUUUCUCUCCUUGCACCCCUGUAUAUCGGAACGGACAUUCCACCGAAACUUAACGCCCCCAACAAAGAGGCCCUGAAUUAAACAACCAGAAAAACAAUCAGCGUUAAACCUACACUGGAGUGCCCUUAAGGAAAGACUAAAAGAAAAAGAAGGAACUCGGCAAACUGGCCUCGCCUGUUUACCAAAAACAUCGCCUCUUGCAAGAAUAAGAGGUCCCGCCUGCCCAGUGACUAAACGUUUAACGGCCGCGGUACUCUGACCGUGCAAAGGUAGCGCAAUCACUUGUCUUUUAAAUGGAGACCUGUAUGAAUGGCAUAACGAGGGCUUAACUGUCUCCUUUUUCUAGUCAAUGAAAUUGAUCUCCCCGUGCAGAAGCGGGGAUAAUUAUAUAAGACGAGAAGACCCUAUGGAGCUUCAGACACUAACGCAGGCCAUUUCACUAACCCCAGACAAGGAUUUUAAACCAAAUAGUCGACUGCCCUAAUGUCUUUGGUUGGGGCGACCGCGGGGAAACAAAAAACCCCCAUGUGGAAUGGGACACUCCUUGAAAUAAGAGCUACCGCUCUAAUUUAACAGAAAUUCUGACCAAUCAGAUCCGGCUUCAGCCGAUCAACGGACCGAGUUACCCUAGGGAUAACAGCGCAAUCCUCUUUCAGAGCCCAUAUCGACAAGAGGGUUUACGACCUCGAUGUUGGAUCAGG
rnacentral:rRNA from 1 species